rnacentral:rRNA from 1 species
UAGGGAAUCUUCGGCAAUGGACGGAAGUCUGACCGAGCAACGCCGCGUGAGUGAAGAAGGUUUUCGGAUCGUAAAGCUCUUUUGUUAGAGAAGAACGUUGGUAGGAGUGGAAAAUCUACCAAGUGACGGUAACUAACCAGAAAGGGACGGCUAACUACGUGCCAGCAGCCGCGGUAAUACGUAGGUCCCGAGCGUUGUCCGGAUUUAUUGGGCGUAAAGCGAGCGCAGGCGGUUCUUUAAGUCUGAAGUUAAAGGCAGUGGCUUAACCAUUGUACGCUGUUGAAACUGGAGGACAUGAGUGCAGAAGGGGAGAGUGGAAUUCCAUGUGUAGCGGUGAAAUGCGUAGAUAUAUGGAGGAACACCGGUGGCGAAAGCGGCCCGCUGGUCUGUAACUGACGCUGAGGCUAGAAAGCGUGGGGAGCAAACAGG